rnacentral:rRNA from 1 species
UACGUAGGGUGCGAGCGUUGUUCGGAAUUACUGGGCGUAAAGGGCUCGUAGGCGGCCGACUAAGUCAGACGUGAAAUCCCCCGGCUUAACCGGGGAACUGCGUCUGAUACUGGACGGCUUGAAUUCGGGAGAGGGAUGCGGAAUUCCAGGUGUAGCGGUGAAAUGCGUAGAUAUCUGGAGGAACACCGGUGGCGAAGGCGGCAUCCUGGACCGACAUUGACGCUGAGGAGCGAAAGCCAGGGGAGCAAACGGG